CUGAGAUGGCCCAAGCCAGGCUGCAGGGAAGAACUAAGUGACAUCUGGAUAUGCUGAAGAAGCCCAAACCCUGUGUCCCAGUGCCUUCACCUACUGAAAAGAAAGGGCAGCAGAGAGAAUCGCAAAGAGGGAACCCGGGGGUUUCCCCCCAGAAGCGGGAUCUGUGCCUCGCCAGAGACACGAAGGCAGAGCAAAGCAGAGUUCAAGAAAACAUCAGAAAGACGUUAUUGAAUAGCUGUCAUUUGGCAAGUAUAAAUGUAUCAGCGAUUGUGUUGAUAGGAGG
ensembl:lncRNA